rnacentral:rRNA from 1 species
UAUAAGUAUAACCUGCCAGACAGGGAAACUGCGUACGGCUCAUUACACCAGCUGUAAUUUACUUGACCUUGACAACCUACUUGGAUAACUGUGGUAAUUCUAGAGCUAAUACAUGCACCAAAGCUCCGAUCCUCGCGGAGAGGAGCGCAUUUGUUCGCCACAAAACCAAGCGCCUUCACAGGCGUUCAGUGUUGACUCAGAACAACUCAGCUGAUCGCACGGUCUCGUACCGGCGACGUGUCUUUCAAGUGUCUGCCUUAUCAACUUUCGAUGGUAGUGUACCUGACUACCAUGGUGAUGACGGGUAACGGAGGAUAAGGGUUCGACUCCGGAGAAGGGGCCUGAGAAAUGGCCACUACGUCUAAGGAUGGCAGCAGGCGCGCAAAUUACCCACUCUCAACAUGAGGAGGUAGUGACGAGAAAU